AGUGAACGCUGGCGGUAGGCCUAACACAUGCAAGUCGAACGGCAGCACAGUAAGAGCUUGCUCUUACGGGUGGCGAGUGGCGGACGGGUGAGGAAUACAUCGGAAUCUACUUUUUCGUGGGGGAUAACGUAGGGAAACUUACGCUAAUACCGCAUACGACCUACGGGUGAAAGCAGGGGAUCUUCGGACCUUGCGCGAUUGAAUGAGCCGAUGUCGGAUUAGCUAGUUGGCGGGGUAAAGGCCUACCAAGGCGACGAUCCGUAGCUGGUCUGAGAGGAUGAUCAGCCACACUGGAACUGAGACACGGUCCAGACUCCUACGGGAGGCAGCAGUGGGGAAUAUUGGACAAUGGGCGCAAGCCUGAUCCAGCCAUACCGCGUGGGUGAAGAAGGCCUUCGGGUUGUAAAGCCCUUUUGUUGGGAAAGAAAAGCAGCAGGUUAAUACCCCGCUGUUCUGACGGUACCCAAAGAAUAAACACCGGCUAACUUCGU
rnacentral:rRNA from 1 species